UCGAACGGCAGCACAGCAGAGCUUGCUCUGUGGGUAGCGAGUGGCGGACGGGUGAGUAAUGCAUCGGGACCUACCCAGACGUGGGGGAUAACCUCGGGAAACCGGGACUAAUACCGCAUACGUCCUACGGGAGAAAGCGGGGGAUCUUCGGACCUCGCGCGGUUGGACGGACCGAUGUGCGAUUAGCUAGUUGGUAGGGUAAAGGCCUACCAAGGCGACGAUCGCUAGCUGGUCUGAGAGGAUGAUCAGCCACACUGGAACUGAGACACGGUCCAGACUCCUACGGGAGGCAGCAGUGGGGAAUAUUGGACAAUGGGCGCAAGCCUGAUCCAGCAAUGCCGCGUGUGUGAAGAAGGCCUUCGGGUUGUAAAGCACUUUUAUCAGGAACGAAAUACCACGGGUCAAUAACCGGUGGGGCUGACGGUACCUGAGGAAUAAGCACCGGCUAACUUCGUGCCAGCAGCCGCGGUAAUACGAAGGGUGCAAGCGUUAAUCGGAAUUACUGGGCGUAAAGGGUGCGUAGGCGGUUCGUUAAGUCUGUUGUGAAAUCCCCGGGCUCAACCUGGGAAUGGCAAUGGAUACUGGCGAGCUAGAGUGUGUCAGAGGAUGGUGGAAUUUCCGGUGUAGCGGUGAAAUGCGUAGAGAUCGGAAGGAACAUCAGCGGCGAAGGCGGCCAUCUGGGACAACACUGACGCUGAAGCACGAAAGCGUGGGGAGCAAACAG
rnacentral:rRNA from 1 species